ACUAGUUAGACUGGGUUAGACUACAUGCUAAUAGAACUGUUCACAAUGUAUUAAAUGCUAAUAGUGUCUAAAUUCACAUAAAGUGUUUGCUUGCGAGACGAGCCACGGUUUCCAGUGAGCCUGGGCCUUGCUAAUUUUUACUUCUGUAGCUAGCUAACGUUAGAGAACAGCCACAGAAGGAUGGUGGGGGAUCGUCUGUGGAAGUUUUUCUCUUUUUUUUUUGUUGAUAAUUACAACCUGUGGUUCUGACAACAGACUGAGACAGUAAAGAAUGAAGAGGAAGGAAACCACCAGCAGCUUUUCCCAGCCUAAAAGAAGAGAGGAGGAAGAACAUCCCAGAGAGGAGAUGGAGGAGGAAGAGUUCAGAGAAAGAAAUGAAGGCAUGCAGAGCUCAGACAGAGAAAGAGGAAGCGGCUGAGCUGCAGGGUGACGACCACACCGGACAGAGCGACGGUCCGGCCUGCAGAGCUGGACACCAGGUUCCUGCUGGGCAGCGGACAGGAGCUGCCAUACUUCCCCCCCAGCAUGGACACGCUCUCAGUCGCCAGCAGGAUGCCAGAGAAGGUGAUUGUCUUGGAGGUAGUGCUGGCCCAGGAGCAGCUCUCAGCGCUUUGUUUCACCCACACCUGGUCACCUUUCUUCAGUUCCUUCAUGAAGUAACAAGUGUUGAGGGUUGUUUGACCAUCAGCCACCUGGGGGUAGAAGCAGAGUUGAAGUUUGUUAGAUACAUCGUCCUGCAUCUCGCUUUGGGUUGUUCACAUCGACAGGUUUAGUCUCGUGUACCUGAGCGUGGCAGAGCAGAUUUUGGACCCCAUUGACCAUAAAGUACCAUCUGUUGUUGUGGUGACCGCGGCACAGCUGGGCAACAAAAACAAACUGGUAGAUGCCAGCGAGCGGCGCAGUGAACACACCGGUGAUGUUGUUGUAGGCAGAGCCCUGGUUCACCAACACUUCGUUAAAAACAAUCGGGCUGAACAAGAGAUCUCUCAGCUGUCCCUGGUAAGCAGUGAAAAAAAUAACAGCGCUCCCUGGAACAGAAAUUCAAUCAGUUUCAUUCAUAUAGCGUCAUUUCACAACAUAUGGGUCAAUAUAGAAUUGAGGGACUUUUGAAGUCCAUGGGAUAUAUCUUGUACACAUUUUUAUUAAAAGUAAAAAAAAAAAAAAAAAAAAAAAUCAUGUUUUUUAUGUUCAUUAUGAUCACGCUUUACAAAAUCCAUAAUUAUUUAUGAUGGAAACAAUCAUUUAUUUUAAAAAAAUUACUCACUUUUCUCAAUUAUCUGUCUCACUGAGUCCUUUUGUGUUUUUCUGUGGUCAUUUUGUGUCAUUUUGUGCACUUUUGUGGUCAUAUUGUGUCUUUUUGUGAUUGUUUUGUGUGUCUGUGCUCAUAUUGUUUCUUUUUGGACUGCUUUAAGGGCAUUUUAGGUCUUUUUGUAUAAUUUUUUGCAUUUUUGUGGCCGUUUUCAGUCUUUGUAUGAUAAUUGCAUGUGUCAUUGAGUCAUUUUGUGUCUCUCUGCUCAUUUUUGGUUGUUAUCAGUCAUUUUGUGGUCGUUUUGUCUCUUUUUAUGAUAAUUUUGUGUCUCGAGGCAUUUUGUGUUUUUCUGUGGUCAUUUGUGUUAUUUUAUAACACAAAAUUGUAUCUGUGUCUGAGAAAUGACUUUCCACUCUCCACUCCUCACCAGGAAGUGUGUUAAUUCCAGAUCACAUGACCUGCUCCACAUGAUGUCAUUUCCUCCUGAAGAAAAGACUGGCCAGACUCCAAGGCUUUGUGAGUUAAUAUAAAGUAGUCAAUGGGUUUACUACAGUAUCUUUAUAAAUAACUUUCAAUUUCAAUUUUACUCAAUUGUAUAUAUAAUAUUUAGAAGAAUCUUUAUCUAAAAAUGCCAUGUGAUGUUUGGGUAGAAUUAAAGAAAUGCUAAUUUUAGGUCUGAAAACAGCAAAAAUGUCAACUAUGUUACAAAAAGUCCCACAAUUAUAUAUUGACCCAUCUAUCAUCUCACAGUGUGUUACAGAUUUUAAACAAAGAACCCAACAAUCCAAAGUUACCAUUUUAUCCCUAUGAGCAAGCAGUCGGCAAAAAAAAAACAACCUCCAACAGAACCAGGUUCAGGGAAGGCGACCAUCUGCCUCAACCAGUCAGGGUGAGAGUGGGGAUGCAUUUUACAUUUAUUUUCUUUCACAUGGACCCACAUCUAACAUUCAAACAAAACAGAAUCGUAGUUACCCUGCUGUCUGGCUGUUGUCUGCCCGGUGAUCUGUGGACAGAAUCAGAAAAAAUAAAGCUGGUUUGGUUGCACCAGUAUCACCAGCUGAGGUCAGGGUCAGAUCACUCACCUGUUCCCUUGUGGCCAAACUGGUUCCACACAGCACCACCCCAAUAACAAAAAAGGAACACAUCUGCAAUCAAUAGUAACCAAAAAUUACAACUAAAGGGUCAGAUUCAGUAGAUAAACAAUCAGACUGACAGACGGACGAUUACCUUGUUGGCAUUCAUCUUCCUCUCCUCCUGAGAGCUAAACUGAACUAACACACUCUGCCAGGUUUCAAUAAAGGGAUCGCUGACUGAUCACAGCAGGCAAAGUCCACCUGCUGCUGUUUGUUACCAAAUCUGUUUGACUAACACACACACACACACAGAGAUUGAGAUUGCGCUCUCAAGCAUGAGUUUCAGCAUGUCCCAGAAUGACAUAUGUGCUAAACACAGCUGCCAUUAGAACCAGUGAUACAAUCAGUCGAUGUCAUAGAAUGUCUGCAUCAGGAGGAGGUCAGGGUUGAUGAAUGGGUCAACAAAACAAAGGGUAACUCUGGUUUAUUUCAACCUGGCAUUUUUCCCAUAAAUGUAAGUACUGGGGCUCUAUGACUUCAGCUAACUUUGAUUGAUAUUCUCCCUGAUAUACACAGUUUUAAGCACCUCUGAUUUCCCUUGAAUAUUACGAAAGCUUGCUGUUACAGUGAAGUAAACUGCUAUCUAACUUGUGAGUAUCCCGGAUGUAACGCAGUCAGGAACAGAGACCGUAUGAGCAACAAUGGUUAAAUUUGCCAGUGUGACAGAGCUCUAAAUAAUAAUCAUACACCUCAGUCAUCAAUCCAGUCAGACGUGUCUGUUUGUAGGAUUAAUUCUCAAAGCAAAAAACUAUCAAAUGUGUGAUUUUAGACACAGCACAAGUUGUCCCUGGAUGUCCUCAAAUAGCCCAGUAAAGUUUUCCCAGUAAAGUGUCAGGCUUAGAGAGAGUGCAUUGACAUUAUCAGGGUCAUUUUCAGGAAGGGGCUGCAGGAAAUUUGGAGUUUGGCCUCAUUUCUAACAAAAAAAGGAGAGAAAACAGCAGUAGAUCUGUGACCCACUGUUCCACACUGACAUGUUGUGGUGGUUAUAGAGGACAGGAGAAGUUCAGCUCCUCCUUUUUGCAUCAGUUUUAUUCUCCUGACAGUAAUUCUUUAACAGUGCCACAACAUAGUUGAAUAUGGUUGGAAUAUGAGAAUUAAUUAUUAAGUGACCACAUUGCCAGCUAUACCCUUAAAUGCCCCCUUGAAUCUCCUGACAAACAGUGUGUGACCCAGUUCAACACAGGUUCAGGCUCAGUUCACAGAUUUGUGGGUUGAAUAAGUCACAGGAGCUCAGUGCUGUUCCACUGGGAAAUUAACAAAAGCUUCAGGUUGCCAUAGUAAGUUUUUGAACUUUUUGCUGCCGUUUUCAGCAAAAAACGCUCUAAAAAGCAACUGUGCACUUCCUGCUCAGCUCCAAACUGCAGGCACAGAUAAUGAUUACACAUAAUUAGCUGAUGAGGAAGCAGAUAUUAACCUGUGAGUGAAUGAAUGUUGGACUUACAUCAUGACGAGUGAUGGUGUUGUUUCAUAACUGCUGUGAAUAUGUUUGCUGACAAAUUUGCUGUUUUAGAAAAUGACAGUUUUUCUCAUUUGCCUGAGCAUGUUUGUCCAUUUAGAAGUUACAUUUUCUCACCAAAAUGGCUUCUUUGGUUUGCAAACACUUACAAAAUGUUUUUUUUUUUUUUUUUUUUAAAAAGCAUGCAACAUACAUAUAAAGCAUAUAUGUCCAUCAAACACUACAAAUUGUGGCCAAAUCGAUGUAUUAUUCCUAUUAACCAUAGCACAAUGAAUAAGAAAAAAUACAAAAAGCAGCUGUCA